ACCACAAUGUCACAUGGCGAAGGGGUCAAAGGAGCAAUCCGGCGAAGGGUGGGCUCGCGUCCGAUUAGAUAGUUGGUGAGGUAACGGCCCACCAAGUCGACGAUCGGUAGCCGACCUGAGAGGGUGAUCGGCCACAUUGGGACUGAGACACGGCCCAGACUCCUACGGGAGGCAGCAGUGGGGAAUAUUGGGCAAUGGGGGAAACCCUGACCCAGCAACGCCGCGUGGAGGAAGAAGGUCUUCGGAUCGUAAACUCCUGUCCUAAGAGACGAGCAGGAGACGGUAUCUUAGGAGGAAGCCCCGGCUAACUACGUGCCAGCAGCCGCGGUAAUACGUAGGGGGCAAGCGUUGUCCGGAAUGAUUGGGCGUAAAGGGCGCGUAGGCGGCCUUUCAAGUCUGAAGUGAAAUUCCUGUUUUUAAGAUGGGAACUGCUUUGGAAACUGUAAGGCUUGAGUGCAGGAGAGGUCAGUGGAAUUCCCAGUGUAGCGGUGAAAUGCGUAGAGAUUGGGAGGAACACCAGUGGCGAAGGCGACUGACUGGACUGUAACUGACGCUGAGGCGCGAAAGUGUGGGGAGCAAA
rnacentral:rRNA from 1 species